ACGGGUGAGUAACGCGUGGGAAUCUACCCUGAACUGCGGAAUAGCUCCGGGAAACUGGAAUUAAUACCGCAUGUGCCCUGAGGGGCAAAGAUCUAUCGGUUCAGGAUGAGCCCGCGUCCGAUUAGCUAGUUGGUGGGGUAAAGGCCUACCAAGGCGACGAUCGGUAGCUGGUCUAAGAGGAUGAUCAGCCACAUUGGGACUGAGACACGGCCCAAACUCCUACGGGAGGCAGCAGUGGGGAAUAUUGGACAAUGGGCGCAAGCCUGAUCCAGCCAUGCCGCGUGAGUGAUGAAGGCCCUAGGGUUGUAAAGCUCUUUCAGUGGGGACGAUAAUGACGGUACCCACAGAAGAAGCCCCGGCUAACUUCGUGCCAGCAGCCGCGGUAAUACGAAGGGGGCUAGCGUUGUUCGGAAUUACUGGGCGUAGAGCGCACGUAGGCGGACAUUUAAGUCAGGGGUGAAAUCCCGGGGCUCAACCCCGGAACUGCCUUUGAUACUGGGUGUCUUGAGUUCGGAAGAGGUGAGUGGAAUUGCGAGU
rnacentral:rRNA from 1 species